GAUGAACGCUGGCGGCGUGCCUAAUACAUGCAAGUCGAGCGAACAGACGAGGAGCUUGCUCCUCUGACGUUAGCGGCGGACGGGUGAGUAACACGUGGAUAACCUACCUAUAAGACUGGGAUAACUUCGGGAAACCGGAGCUAAUACCGGAUAAUAUAUUGAACCGCAUGGUUCAAUAGUGAAAGACGGUUUUGCUGUCACUUAUAGAUGGAUCCGCGCCGCAUUAGCUAGUUGGUAAGGUAACGGCUUACCAAGGCUACGAUGCGUAGCCGACCUGAGAGGGUGAUCGGCCACACUGGAACUGAGACAAGGUCCAGACUCCUACGGGAGGCAGCAGUAGGGAAUCUUACGCAAUGGGCGAAAGCCUGACGGAGCAACGCCGCGUGAGUGAUGAAGGUCUUCGGAUCGUAAAACUCUGUUAUUAGGGAAGAACAAAUGUGUAAGUAACUAUGCACGUCUUGACGGUACCUAAUCAGAAAGCCACGGCUAACUACGUGCCAGCCGCCGCUGUAA
rnacentral:rRNA from 1 species